ACGAAAACAACAACACCUAAAAUGUGGAAUAUAGCAUAUAGUCGACAAGAGAAAUCUACGAAAAAACAAACAAAACUUUCAACAACGGAUCUCUUGGUUCUCGCAUCGAUGAAGAGCGCAGCGAAAUGCGAUACCUAGUGUGAAUUGCAGCCAUCGUGAAUCAUCGAGUUCUUGAACGCACAUUGCGCCCCUCGGCAUUCCGGGGGGCAUGCCUGUUUGAGCGUCGUUUCCAUCUUGCGCGUGCGCAGAGUUGGGGGAGCGGAGCGGACGACGUGUAAAGAGCGUCGGAGCUGCGACUCGCCUGAAAGGGAGCGAAGCUGGCCGAGCGAACUAGACUUUUUUUCAGGGACGCUUGGCGGCCGAGAGCGAGUGUUGCGAGACAACAAAAAGCUCG
rnacentral:misc_RNA from 1 species